AACGAACGCUGGCGGCAGGCGUAACACAUGCAAGUCGAGCGCCCCGCAAGGGGAGCGGCAGACGGGUGAGUAACGCGUGGGAAUUUACCCAUCACUACGGAACAACCCCGGCAAACUGGAGCUCAUACCGUACACGUCCUUCGGUAGAAAGAUUUAUCGGUGAUGGAUGAUCUCGCGUUGGAUUAGCUAGUUGGUGGGGUAAUGGCCUACCAAGGCGACGAUCCUUAGCUGGUCUGAGAGGAUGAUCAGCCACACUGGGACUGAGGCACGGCCCAGAAUCCUACGGGAGGCAGCAGUGGGGAAUAUUGGACAAUGGGCGCAAGCCUGAUCCAGCCAUGCCGCGUGAGUGAUGAGGGCCUUAGGGUUGUAAAGCUCUUUCAGUAGGGAAGAUAAUGACGGUACCUACAGAAGAAGCCCCGGCUAACUUCGUGCCAGCCGCCGCGGUAAUAC
rnacentral:rRNA from 1 species